UUUAUUUUCACAAGUCUUUACAAACAAGUAGAACAUAAUCUCCUGCUCUUUUCCACUAUCAGAGGGGAGAAUAAAUCAAUACUUCAAGUACUUUUCAGUUCUUCAGAUUAGUUUCCUGGACUCUUCUGGGAAUGGGGCAUAAAACAAUUCUGGUAUCCAUAGAACAGCAGCAUGCAUGCUGACCACCCAUGAUGAAAUGGUUUCUAAUUCUACAGCCUGGAAAAACUCUACUUACCACAUUCGUUUGAGGCACAACUGAUUUUAUCUGAUGGGCAAUUAACUUAUCAUUAGAUUUUCAGCAACAACAUGGUAAAAGCAGGCAAGUAGACUUUGUGCCUAGGCUAGUAAACAUUCAUGAUGAUUUUGCAGGCAUGCUCCAGCAGCAUUACACAGUAACAAUGAGACCAGUUCACAAGGCAGGUUUAUUCCUUUCUGCAGAUCCAGCACGCACUCACUCUUAGCAGUGUGGGGUGGGGCAUUGCUUGCAUUCCCCAAAUUAUUUUCUUAUCAUAUAUAUCUCUUUCACAGAAUCUCCUCAGACCUGCAAGAGAUGGAGAGCCUUACUCUGAGUUUCAGUGAUUUCAGAGUCUGACAUUACAGUCUCUCUUCAAGUGAGCUGCCCUGCACCUUGAACAUACACUGCUGCAGUGCCUAGACCUGUCAGAGCCAUUUCAGUGCUGGCAGCAAACAAUAAUGAGCCCAGAUGUUGGCUCCUCUUUUCAAGAGCAGGCUCUUCCCAAGAAGCAACCAAGAAAUCAAAUGUGUCUAAGCUUAGGGAUGUACAGAAGAAAUGGGGGCACUUCCUGGACAGAUACUUUUGUCCCCAAAGUACUCAAUUCAAGGAAAGCUGCUGUGUAAUACAGAAGAUAAUUCUCUAUGCUGCACAGAAUAGUGAGGUCAUUACACUAAACUACACAGAGGAGCAAACUCUAAAAAGAUUAAGAGAAACAUACUACUAUACUAGGCACUUUACAAGUGUGACAGAGAAAUGUUAAUGUCUUAAAUAUAACUAAAUAGAAUAAUUCACAAUCAAAUGGGAAGCCACCAUCUUCACAGUAUGAUGAUAUAGAGCAGGACUUGGGAACAUAAAUCCCAGAUGUAUUCAUAAAAGAGAAGAAGACUUUUUAAGUCCUUCAAAGUUAAAGUAUCUUUUAAAAAAAUUGGUCUCAAUCACUGUAAAUUAACCUUCCCCUCUUCACAAAAAUAUAGAAUGCACAUUGCAUUAUCUGUGAAAGGUUUAAUAAAAGUUGUGUGGGACUAUUAUACCCCUUCA
rnacentral:lncRNA from 1 species